CCAUCAGUGGCUUCCACGCGCAGUGUCGGUGCAAACCACCGGUGAGGCACACUUGUGUAGUGAGCGCAGCAGCAGCAGGGCGGACGUGCAUUCCUGUCCACAGCCAUGGUGGUGAGGUCUGGCAGAAGAGCUGCAGCUCCGUGGGUGGAAAAUGUGCUUUGCUUCAUUGAGGACUGCAAGUGCAACUCUCCUGCUGCAAAGUGCGUGCCCGCUUAAUCAGCUAAAGGAGCAAUAUUGUGCAAAGUGCCCCCCACCCAACAGGCUGCUCUGCAACAGGAAUCAAUCAGGUCCCAACUUUCCAGCUGAGGUGUAGAACCUGGUAACACCCUGCAUCUUGUGACCAGCUGCCCUCACUCAGCAGUGAUGGGAAUGUCCUUGAGUCUUUAUGGACCUGUUCCUGCAAUGCAGCUUUUCAGCUGGAUCACUGCCAAUUGACACAGAGUUGCAAUGGGAUAUUCACAGACUUAAUCUCAUCCCUGUUUGAAGAGAAACCUG